CAAGCACCACACGCUCAACAACGAAGAAUGAGGCAGGGAGAGGCCAUCGGAGUUUCCGAGGCCGUUUGCCACUCUCCCUUGAUAACCCACCACCCUUUACGGCGGUCGGUAAUCUUUAGCCGAUGAUUUCUCCGACCACCAUUAAAACGGCCCUCAAAGAAAGAUCAGCUGCUUCAAUAAUGGCACUAUCUUACCCCCCUUUCUAUCAAACUUGGUCACUAAUUGGCCUAAUUAUUACUACUACUCCGUAUUAUUUAUUUAUUUAUUUAUUUAUCAUCUUCAUUAUUAUUAUUAUUAUUACUACCUCCGUUUUUUCCGUUGAGGCUAUGAUGAAUUCGAUCGUUCAAUCUAAUCCAAGUUUUUCUGGGUUUUGGUUGUGUUUUUCGAGGUGGGUAUUUUUCCAUUUGGCUUGGCAGCAACUUGAUCGGCAUUUUUGGUUGCGACGGUGGUGUUGGUAGUGGUUGUUGUAACUGGAAACUAAGGGCCUGUUCUCAUUUACUGACUGAGCUGAACUGAAAACUGAACUAUAAUUAAGCUGAACUGAAUUGGUCCUAAGGCCUUGUUUAGUUCAUCUUAUAUUUGUUAAUGUCGAUCUUGUUUGGUUGCCGCCAUGGUUGAUUACCUUCACCUUGAUAAUGCUCCCCCAAAAAAGCUUUGGUGAAAUUCGGAUCUGAGCCUCCCCCAAACACUCCUCAAAAAAUGGACGAAAAGAAAUCAAGUUUUUUGAAAUUAUGAUAUGGUUUUUAUGUUUUGCAUGUGAUUUUUUGCAUGUUUGUGAUUUUGUGAGUGUAAUUUGCUGUUUGGGUUGUGAUUGUUUCUUGCUUAAGCUUACAAUAAAUGGUGAAAGUAAUGUUUUUUUUAAGUGAUUUAUUGUUGGGUUGCAGGUUUGGGUGAAGAUAUUAGGAGGGGCAAAGUUGAUGAAGAGGUUAAUGGGAUUUUGAUUGUGUUAUUGGAUAGUAAGCUUGUGUAUUUUAGGCUUGUAUAUAGUUUUACAAUGAGCUUGUUAUAGCUGCAUAGCCUGCAUUUCUGGGUUUAUUGUAAGGUUGUUGUCUGCUUUGAAAGUUUUAAUGUUGAAUGGUUAAAUUAAUAUAAUUUUAUAUGUAGUGCUUAUUGAUAUUAUUUUGGAACGCUUGUGAAAAGCUGUCAAAUAAUGUGUGUUUCAGUAACUUAGAACACAUUCCUGUGGAUAUAGAUGAUUAGUAGCAGCAGCAGUGUUGGUAGUUAGAGAUUGCAAUUUUGAACCAAUUUCUUCAUGCAAUUUUGUACCUUGCCUCCCUUGCUUUUUACUGUGGAAUUUGGGAGGGGGGGGGGGGGGGGGGAGGUUCUGUUGGUUUUCUGCAUUGAGGUGUUUCUUUUCGUUGUUUCCCCUAUUCACAUUUCUUGCUCUCUCUGUUGGAGAUGGAUGAAAAUCAGUUUAAUUGCUAUCGACUGUUCAUUUUUGCUGGCUACUUGUUAAAAAACUUCAUGCUGUGAUUAGAAGUUAGAGCUUUGCAAUCCAGAGGAUGUUAGUAAUGCCUCUCUUAUUCAAUUGUAGCUUUGUCAUAUGCUAUCAACUUUGUGGAGGCUGUCGUCGUUUCUUCCCUUUUUUCAAUUGGCAUUGUCAUGGAAAGAUCAUGGCUCAUUGCUUGGAUAGAGAAGAAAUAAGCAAACACUUUCCUGGACAUCUUUUCUCAAAGGAGAUCAGGUUUCUUUGCCCUGUUGAAUGAUUUCUCCCAAACUCACCCAUGGGAUAUUAGUUCUAAUACUCAAGUACAGUUCACGACUACAAUAAGUUCAGGGUAGUGAAUUUCAGGUGAAAGGGAAAAGUGAUUUCAUGUGAAUGCCGACUACAAUGAAGUCUAUUGGUGACACAUUGUGCACUAUUCGCAUUCACCACUUUGACCAGCGUUGGUGCUUUAUACAUUAGAUUAAACAUAGUCUGUGAGUACUUGUGAGUGCUGGUCAAAUUGGGAUAUGUAAAACAACGGAGUAUAAACCUGGCCUUUUGUUGUUUCUGAAAUUUUAAGGCUGUGAUGAUAAAAAAAUUCUACUUCAAUUAGUAGACUGGCGCUGGAGAUACAUAAUUAGGGUUGUGCCAUUGGCUUGGCAGCAGUAAAGCUGAUAAGCUCUACUUGAUUUGCCGCCAUGGUAUUGACUACCAGACUUUUGUCUCCUUAUGCUUGAUCAAAGGCGAAUCUGAGCCUUUUUGUUGUGACUGAAUUUUAGUGGGAAGAUAGUACACCUUUAUGUUUUCUCAAACCUUUUAAGUUUUUCACUCACAUAUUCUCCCUAUCCUUUUUAUCCCCUUACCACUUGUAAAACUCUCAUAAAUUUUAUUUGUCUUUCUGUUUUUCACUUUAUACACUCUAUCCAACUUUUAUUCAAUCGAUUAUUUUGCUAUGCUCUUUUUCCUUUUCGGAUGGUUCCUUGUGACGAUUCAUGUUAGGCUGUUAACCGUACCCAAAUCAUUUGGGACUAAGACUUUUAUGUUGUUGUUGGGAAGAUAGCAUACCCUAAUCUAUUAACUUACGCAAGUAAGCCAGUCAACUUGCUUUACAGUUCUCCAGUUCAAUUCCAUUCAGUUUAGAUACAUGUUUUCUACUCCAAUAAGUAAACUGCUACUGGAGAAAUGAAUAUCAAGGGUUUUGCCAUUGGCCUGGCAGCAGUAAGCUGGCGAGCUUUACUUCUUUUGCCGCCAUGGUACUUGAGUUCUAUCUUUAUCAUCUUCUAGCUGUUAGUUUUAUUAUGUGCUGUUAGUACUGUCUGUCAUUAUCUUGCAUCUUUUAGCUGUUAAUUUGAUUAUGUGCUCUUGUUUGGGACUUGGAAUGGCUGUGCAUCUUGAAAGCCGUUUGCCUCUUCGCUUUGAUGAUCACUGUGGCUGGCUAGGCUGAUCACCAUAUACAAAAGCCGGAAAUCAAAGUUUCAAAAUAUUAGAGAUGGCUAUUUCGUCUUUUUAGACAAUCAUGAAACAUCUGGUCAAGAUAGAAUCUGUAUUACUUCUGUAUGUUUUACCUUAAUCUCUUGGAGAUUUUGGUUGCAUUAGUUUCUAGUCAGACUUCGGAGUUCAGAGUAACCAAACCACUGGCCAAGGAUGCUUGCAGUUAACCAGCAGCAGCUAAUCUGAUGAUUGUGGUGCUGCUAGUGGUCUUCUUGACGCCUCCCAAUCGCUGAUGAAGUUCUCCUUCGCGAGCUGAACUCUCACCUAUUCACUUGGAUGUGCUCCGGGUCUUUGCAUGCAAAUUAACCUGCACCAUUUCUACGUAUUUUGAGACGAUGACGAAAUACACAGGAUUACAGGAAGCAUGUUGGUUCCUGGAGAAUUUUACAUUUGGUUUUGGUUUUGGUUUUGGUUCACUGAAACAUUGUAUAUCUGUAAAGUGAGAUAAAUCAGUAAACUAGUAAAGUAUUGAUGAUUAAUUACUUCAUUGUACAAGUGCACGUUCAAAAUCAAUGAGAAAUGCCUCCAAAAUUUGGAAUUG